UACGGAGGGGGCUAGCGUUGUUCGGAAUUACUGGGCGUAAAGCGCACGUAGGCGGCCUUGUAAGUUAGAGGUGAAAGCCCGGGGCUCAACUCCGGAAUUGCCUUUAAGACUGCAUCGCUAGAAUUGUGGAGAGGUAAGUGGAAUUCCGAGUGUAGAGGUGAAAUUCGUAGAUAUUCGGAAGAACACCAGUGGCGAAGGCGACUUACUGGACACAUAUUGACGCUGAGGUGCGAAAGCGUGGGGAGCAAACAGG
rnacentral:rRNA from 1 species